AGAGUUUGAUCCUGGCUCAGGAUGAACGCUAGCGGCAGGCUUAACACAUGCAAGUUGCGGGGCAGCGGUUGUAGCAAUACAAGCCGGCGACCGGCGCACGGGUGAGUAACGCGUAUGUAAUCUACCUUAUACAGGGGUAUAGCUCGGGGAAACUCGAAUUAAUCCCCCAUAACACUGAAUUUCGGCAUCGAAAAUCAGUUAAAUCUGAGGAGGUAUAAGAUGAGCAUGCGUACCAUUAGUUAGUUGGUAAGGUAACGGCUUACCAAGACGAUGAUGGUUAGGGGUUCUAAAAGGAUGAUCCCCCACACUGGUACUGAAACACGGACCAGACUCCUACGGGAGGCAGCAGUGAGGAAUAUUGGGCAAUGGACGGAAGUCUGACCCAGCCAUGCCGCGUGCAGGAUGAAGGCCCUUCGGGUCGUAAACUGCUUUUAUACGAGAGGAAAAGUAGGGAUGUAUCCUUAUGUGACUGUAUCGUGUGAAUAAGCAUCGGCUAACUCCGUGCCAGCAGCCGCGGUAAUACGGAGGAUGCGAGCGUUAUCCGGAUUUAUUAGGUUUAAAGGGUGCGUAGGCGGAUUAAUAAGUCAGUGGUGAAAUCCUGCAGCUUAACUGCAGAACCGGCAUUGAUACUGUUAAUCUUGAAUGCAGUUGAGGCAGGCGGAAUGUGUAGUGUAGUGGUGAAAUACUUAGAUAUUACACAGAACACCGAUUGCGAAGGCAGCUUGCUAAGCUGUGAUUGACGCUGAGGCACGAAAGCGUGGGGAUCAAACAGGAUUAGAUACCCUGGUAGUCCACGCCGUAAACUAUGAUCACUCGUUGUUGGCGAUACAAAGUCAGCGACUGAGCAAAAGCAUUAAGUGAUCCA
rnacentral:rRNA from 1 species